UCAACCCAGGCCAUUCUAUGGUGAUUCUUGCUAAAAAAAGCAACCUGUCCCAGUAUGCCCCAGUCCCACCCAGUAUCAAAAUGGGCCCUCAUCUCAUUCCCAUCCUCGUUACAACCAGACCCUCUCAGUACUUCCCAAUCUUUCCUCCUCAGUCCCAUGGAAAAUCUCCAGAAGUAUUUAAAUGUUCCAAACCUUGGUGCAAUGCUUAGCAAGGAAGAAGGGACAGAAAUCAUGUGCUUAGUUUGCAGUUUAUACAGUUAUGCAGAAAAUCUCCAGAACUGUUUCAAUGUCUCAACUACUGUCACACUACUUAGCUGCAAAGAAGGAACGGAAAUUGUGUGCUGAAUUUGCAGUCUGAAUUAGGGAACCAAAAAUGCUUGUCAAGGAGGGAGCAGAAUACAUCGGAGGAUGGACAGCCCUAUAUACAGACUUAGGCAAGUUCCCUUAUUGCAAGAGAUGCCGAAGUGACUAACAUGGAAAGGGACAAGGUUUCUCUGUCUCCAUACCCAAUGAGAGGGAAGAAUGCCACCCUUUCCCCUCCCACACAUUCACAAAUGCUGAAUCCCACCUAUUCCCAUCUCACAUACCACCUAUGGAUACACAUAUGAAACAUCCCCUUUUUGCAACAAACAAAAAGGAUUACGACUCAGUGGUCAAGUAUGCACCUGCCAUCCGAAUAUUACCAGACCAGAGACUACGCUGGAAACAAAGGUUCCCUUUCAGGAGUUCUGCUGACAGGCAGAAGUGAUUUUGAAAUCUCACACACCCCGAUCUGAUGGAGCUGCAGCAACCCCCAGUAUCAACAUGGGUCCUCAUAUCAUCGUUACCCCACCCCCAUCUCCUUACAAUCAUACCGUCCCUGUAUGUCCCACUCCCCCCCAGUAAUAAACACGGGCACUGAGCUCAUCGCCAUCCCUAUCCCAUUACAGCCAGACUGCCCCUGUACGCCCCACCCCCGCAGUACCAACAUGGGCCCUCAUCUCACCCCCUCCCCCGUUACAACCAGACCCGCCCAGUUUGUACCUAAUAUCAACAUCGCCCCUCUCACCUCAUUGCUCCCACCCCAACACUACAACCAGACCCUCCCAGUAUAAAUUUUAUCCUUUAAAACCGCUCCCC